GAGAGUUAAACAGUACGUGAAAUUGUUGAAAGGGAAACGAUUGAAGUCAGUCAUACCAACGGGAAAUCAACCUCUUGAGUUUGGUCUCGUGGGUUUCGAAGAGUUUAAAAGCCUUCGGAUUUUCGAGAUUGGGUUCUUCUGGUGUACUUUCUCGUACGGUUAGUCAACAUCGGUUUUGAAUGUCAUAAAAUGGCUGGAGGAAUGUGGCUUCGAUCUCGUAUUGAAGUGUUAUAACCUUUGGUAGAUGUGAUGUUUGAGACCGAGGAUUGCAACGGAUACCCUUCUGGGCUAUUCGUCUGAUCUCUGAAACGUUGCCUUGAUGUCGAAAGCUUGCUUAUGAUGUUAGGGUAUUACGGUCAAAAGGUUAGAACGGAUUAAAUUCGUUAAGGAUGUUGACGUAAUGACUUUAAACGA
rnacentral:rRNA from 1 species